UACGAAGGGGGCUAGCGUUGCUCGGAAUCACUGGGCGUAAAGCGCACGUAGGCGGAUUGCUAAGUCAGGGGUGAAAUCCUGGAGCUCAACUCCAGAACUGCCUUUGAUACUGGCGAUCUUGAGUCCGGGAGAGGGAUGUGGAAUUCCAGGUGUAGCGGUGAAAUGCGUAGAUAUCUGGAGGAACACCGGUGGCGAAGGCGGCAUCCUGGACCGGUAUUGACGCUGAGGCGGCGGAAAGCUAGGGGAGCAAACGG
rnacentral:rRNA from 1 species